rnacentral:rRNA from 1 species
AUUGAACGCUGGCGGCAGGCUUAACACAUGCAAGUCGAGCGGGGUGAUGGUGCUUGCACUAUCACCUAGCGGCGGACGGGUGAGUAAUGCUUAGGAAUCUGCCUAUUAGUGGGGGACAACAUCUCGAAAGGGAUGCUAAUACCGCAUACGUCCUACGGGAGAAAGCAGGGGAUCACUUGUGACCUUGCGCUAAUAGAUGAGCCUAAGUCGGAUUAGCUAGUUGGUGGGGUAAAGGCCUACCAAGGCGACGAUCUGUAGCGGGUCUGAGAGGAUAAGCCGCCACGCUGGGACGGAAACACGGCCCAGAGCCCGACGGGAGGCAGCAGUGGGGAAUAUUGGACAAUGGGGGGAACCCUGAUCCAGCCAUGCCGCGUGUGUGAAGAAGGCCUUAUGGUUGUAAAGCACUUUAAGCGAGGAGGAGGCUCUUUUGGUUAAUACCCAAGAUGAGUGGACGUUACUCGCAGAAUAAGCACCGGCUAACUCUGUGCCAGCCGCCGCAGUAA